AUGUGUGAUUGCACCUUAGCUCUAUAUCCGCUCUAAUUGUUGAAGAUAUCUCAAGUUCGGUUGGUGUUUUCAUCUCCAUUUGAGUUUCCGUUUCAACUACAAAUUCACCAUACCAGAUACCAUGUCGAACUUAUCAAAACUCGAAUUCGUCGCACUUGACAUCUCCGGAAAUAACUACCUCCCAUGGACUCUUGAUGCGAAAAUUCAUCUAACAGCAAAUAAUCUAGGGGCGACAAUCGAUGAUGAGAAUCAAACAUCCGCUCAAGAUAAGGCUAAGGCCAUGAUAUUCCUCCGUCACCAUCUUCACGAAGACUUGAAGAGGGAGUAUCUUACUGUUGAGGACCCUCUCGAGCUGUGGAGAAAUAUCAAAGAAAGAUUUGAUCACCAGAAGCUGGUCUUGCUCCCUAAAGCUCGCUAUGAGUGGCUUCAUUUGAGGCUACAAGAUUAUAAAAGUGUUAGCGAGUACAACUCUGCCCUUUUCCGCAUCACCUCUGAGCUUAAAUUAUGUGGUGAAAAAAUAACCGACG
rnacentral:lncRNA from 1 species